GAUAAACGCUGGCGGCGCACAUAAGACAUGCAAGUCGAACGGACUUAGGCCCAUUCUUUACGAUUGGGUACGGUUAGUGGCGGACUGGUGAGUAACGCGUGAGCAACCUGCCUAUAAGAGGGGAACAACAGUUAGAAAUGACUGCUAAUACCGCAUAAGCUGAUAGGACUACAUGGUCUAGUCAGAAAAGGAGCAAUCCGCUUAUAGAUGGGCUCGCGUCCGAUUAGCUAGUUGGUGGGGUAAAGGCCUACCAAGGCGACGAUCGGUAGCCGGACUGAGAGGUUGAACGGCCACAUUGGGACUGAGAUACGGCCCAG
rnacentral:rRNA from 1 species